ensembl:rRNA 5S_rRNA 5S ribosomal RNA
GUCUCAGGCCGUAUCAGCCUGAAGGCGCCCGAUCUCGUCUGAUCUCGGAAGCUAAGCAGGGUCGGGCCUGGUUAGGAUCUUGGAUGGGAGACCACCUGGGAAUCCCGGGUGCUCAAGGCU